rnacentral:rRNA from 1 species
UACGGGGGGAGCAAGCGUUGUUCGGAUUUACUGGGCGUAAAGGGCGCGUAGGCGGCCACCGCAAGUCAAUUGUGAAAUCUCCGGGCUUAACUCGGAAAGGUCAACUGAUACUGCGGGGCUAGAGUGCGGAAGGGGCAACUGGAAUUCUCGGUGUAGCGGUGGAAUGCGUAGAUAUCAGGAAGAACACCGGUGGCGAAGGCGGCUUGCUGGGCCAAUACUGACACUCAUCCGCGAAAGCGUGGGGAGCAAACAGG